AGUCGAGGGGCAGCGCGGGUAGCAAUACUUGGCGGCGACCGGCAAACGGGUGCGGAACACGUACGCAACCUUCCCAAAACUGGGGAAUAGCCCUCCGAAAGGAGGAUUAAUACCCCGUAACACAAUUAAGAGGCAUCUCUUGAUUGUUAUAGCUCAGGCGGUUUUGGAUGGGCGUGCGGCUGAUUAGGUAGUUGGCGGGGUAACGGCCCACCAAGCCAUCGAUCAGUAACUGGUGUGAGAGCACGACCAGUCACACGGGCACUGAGACACGGGCCCGACUCCUACGGGAGGCAGCAGUAAGGAAUAUUGGUCAAUGGACGCAAGUCUGAACCAGCCAUGCCGCGUGAAGGAUGAAGGCCCUCUGGGUUGUAAACUUCUUUUAUCUGGGACGAAAAAAGGGGAUUCUUCCUCACUUGACGGUACCAGAGGAAUAAGCACCGGCUAACUCCGUGCCAGCAGCCGCGGUAAUACGGAGGGUGCAAGCGUUAUCCGGAUUCACUGGGUUUAAAGGGUGCGUAGGUGGGCAGGUAAGUCAGUGGUGAAAUCUUCGGGCUUAACUCGGAAACUGCCAUUGAUACUAUCUGUCUUGAAUAUCCUGGAGGUGAGCGGAAUAUGUCAUGUAGCGGUGAAAUGCUUAGAUAUGACAUAGAACACCAAUUGCGAAGGCAGCUCACUACG
rnacentral:rRNA from 1 species